GGACAGGAGAAGCUGCAGAGAGUGUUUGGAAACAACUUGCCACCCAAGGUCUUUCCCAUGAGAAAUGGUGGAAAUAAAGAUCCUUUUGGUUCCCAAACGCAGCCAGAGUAAGUGCUUCUUCCCAAUUGAUUUGAUGCAUGUCGCCUUUGUGUUGGAAUUUGGAAAAUGAGAGCUGUUGGUCUUGCAAAAGAUCCAUUCCCGGUUGAGAGUAAAAUGAUGAUGGAAAGCAGGGGUCCGCAAAC
rnacentral:lncRNA from 11 species